UACAGAGGGUGCAAACGUUGCUCGGAAUCAUUGGGCGUAAAGCGCACGUAGGCGGCCCAGCAAGUGGGGAGUGACAGCCCUCGGCUUAACCGAGGAAGUGCUUUCCAAACUACUGGGCUUGAAUACUGGAGAGGGUCGCGGAAUUCCCGGUGUAGAGGUGAAAUUCGUAGAUAUUCGGAGGAACACCAGUGGCGAAGGCGGCUCACUGGUCCAUUACUGACGCUGAGGUGCGAAAGCGUGGGGAGCAAACAGG
rnacentral:rRNA from 1 species